AUUGAACGCUGGCGGCAGGCCUAACACAUGCACGUCGAACGAGUGGCGGACGGGUGAGUAAUGUCUGGGAAAGUGACAGAGGGAGGGGGAUAAAUACUGGAAAAGGUAGAUAAUACCGCAAACCAUCGGAUGUGCCCAGAUGGGAUUAGCUUGUAGGGUGGGUAACGGCUCACCUAGGCGACGAUACCUAGCUGGUCUGAGAGGAUGACCAGCCACACUGGAACUGAGACACGGUCCAGACGCCUACGGGAGGCAGCAGUGGGGAAUAUUGCACAAUGGGCGCAAGCCUGAGGCAGCCAUGCCGCGUGUAUGAAGAAGGCCUUCGGGUUGUAAAGUACUUUCAGCGAGGAGGCGUUACUCGCAGAAGAAGCACCGGCUAACUCCGUGCCAGCAGCCGCGGUAAUAC
rnacentral:rRNA from 1 species